AUGCAGAUGGCCUUCUUCAAAAUCUGGCUUUCUUUCAAUGCAUGUCAGCACAGCUAUAUAUCUUUCUGAGCUACUGUGACAAGAACUGAGAAUAGAUGGAUGGCUGUUUUACUGCAGGUUUUGAUAGCAGUUUUGAGAGAUUAGGGCUGUUUUGGAAAGACAAGUUUCAGAGUCUGCUUUCUGAAGGUGCUUGAGAUUAGCAAGUAACUUUAGCAACUCUGAUAUCUCCUUCAGAGACGAUUGAAGGUUGAAGGAAAAUCAGUCAUGAAAGAGAAUUUAACUAAGUUUCUUAUCCCCUCAUGUUUGUUUAGGGAGGGCAUUUUCAGAGGACUGGCAGAGCCAACUUCAUAGGAUGCAUUUCAACAAUGAGAAAGGGCUGUGAUCAAAGGGAAUUAAUAUACUCUUAAACGUGAAACAUCUACACUGACAUAGCAUGUGGCCUCUUGCAUUGGCUGGAAAGAAAUGGAAUCAGCAGCCAACAAAGCAGGGAGAAGAGCUGAAGAUCUUACUGAAGAACUUACCAAAGAUCUUAAACUGAACAUUAAUGAUUUCUUAAUGGACAAAGACUGUUGAAGCUCUGGGACAGUGGUCACAAUAUUACCUACCCUGCUAGAAAUCAUUGUGUCUGGGAGACAGGAUCCACUGACAUAGCAGAGGCAAAGGAGUGGGACAUUCUGACCCAGCCAGGAACAGCACUAAGUCUCCAGGAGUGCUGUCUUCACAGAGGUAAAACUUCUUGCAGUAGGUCCUCAUGUGUUUUGUGCCAAAAGGCAGUCAUAACAACCUUUAAAAAACAAAAGGUAAUUUUAUGGCGUAGGAAAG
rnacentral:lncRNA from 1 species